GACGAACGCUGGCGGCGUGCUUAACACAUGCAAGUCGAACGGAAAGGCCCUGCUUUUGUGGGGUGCUCGAGUGGCGAACGGGUGAGUAACACGUGAGUAACCUGCCCUUGACCUUGGGAUAACUUCAGGAAACUGGGGCUAAUACCGGAUAGGAGCUCCUGCUGCAUGGUGGGGGUUGGAAAGUUUCGGCGGUUGGGGAUGGACUCGCGGCUUAUCAGCUUGUUGGUGGGGUAGUGGCUUACCAAGGCUUUGACGGGUAGCCGGCCUGAGAGGGUGACCGGCCACAUUGGGACUGAGAUACGGCCCAGACUCCUACGGGAGGCAGCAGUGGGGAAUAUUGCACAAUGGGCGGAAGCCUGAUGCAGCAACGCCGCGUGCGGGAUGACGGCCUUCGGGUUGCAAACCGCUUUCGCCUGUGACGAAGCGUGAGUGACGGUAAUGGGUAAAGAAGCACCGGCUAACUACGUG
rnacentral:rRNA from 1 species